GAUGAACGCUGGCGGCGUGCCUAAUACAUGCAAGUCGAUCGAACGGACGAGAAGCUUGCUUCUCUGAUGUUAGCGGCGGACGGGUGAGUAACACGUGGAUAACCUACCUAUAAGACUGGGAUAACUUCGGGAAACCGGAGCUAAUACCGGAUAAUAUUUUGAACCGCAUGGUUCAAAAGUGAAAGACGGUCUUGCUGUCACUUAUAGAUGGAUCCGCGCUGCAUUAGCUAGUUGGUAAGGUAACGGCUUACCAAGGCAACGAUGCAUAGCCGACCUGAGGGGGUGAUCGGCCACACUGGAACUGAGACACGGUCCAGACUCCUACGGGAGGCAGCAGUAGGGAAUCUUCCGCAAUGGGCGAAAGCCUGACGGAGCAACGCCGCGUGAGUGAUGAAGGUCUUCGGAUCGUAAAACUCUGUUAUUAGGGAAGAACAUAUGUGUAAGUAACUGUGCACAUCUUGACGGUACCUAAUCAGAAAGCCACGGCUAACUACGUG
rnacentral:rRNA from 1 species